UAUAUUGCAACUGUAGGGAGAGAUGGUUAUCUGAGAGUGUUUGACUAUAAAAAUGAACAGCUUAUAUGUGGUGGGAAAAGCUACUAUGGUGCUCUAUUGUGUUGUGCAUGGAGUAUGGAUGGGAAGUACAUUUUAACUGGUGGAGAAGAUGACCUAGUUCAAGUUUGGAGCAUGGAAGAAAGGAAAGUAGUUGCAUGGGGUGAGGGACACAAUUCUUGGGUAAGUGGAGUGGCAUUUGAUUCAUAUUGGUCAGCACCAAAUUCAGAUGCUACGGAUGAGAACGUUGUCUACCGAUUUGGUUCUGUUGGUCAGGACACACAAUUGCUCUUAUGGGAUCUGGAAAUGGAUGAAAUUGUAGUACCAAUGCGCCGUCCUCAUGGUGGAUCACCAACUUACAGCACGGGGAGUCAGUCCUCUCAUUGGGAUAGGGCUUGCCCUGUUGGUACGCUGCAGCCUGCUCCAAGCAUGCGAGAUGUUCCAAAGCUAUCGCCCCUGGUCAGUCACCGUGUUCACACUGAACCACUCUCUGGCGUGAUGUUUACUCAGGAAUCAGUUCUUACUAUCUGCCGUGAGGGGCAUAUAAAGGUUUGGGUGAGACCAGAGUUUGGUGAAACUCAAACUAGCAACUCAGAGUCUUUACUAGGUACUAGUUUGAAGGAGAAGCCACCGAUAUCAGGAAAGGUUGUCAGUUCCAAGUUUCAAGCAAUGACCUAACAG
rnacentral:misc_RNA from 1 species